ensembl:lncRNA
GUGGGCUGCAGUCCAUGGGGUCGCUAAGAGUCGGGCAUGACUGAGCGACUUCACUUUCACUUUUCACUUUCAUGCAUUGGAGAAGGCAAUGGCAACCCACUCCAGUGUUCUUGCCUGGAGAAUCCCAGGGACGGGGAGCCUGGUGGGCUGCCGUCUAUGGGGUCACACAGAGUCUAUCUUUCCUGCCAAGCUGUGAUCUCCUUGAAGACAACGACUGUUUGUUUGUUUGGUAUCCACACUGUCUGGCACCUUGAAGGUUUGUCAGGUGAUUUCUGAAACUCGAAAGCUAUCUAAGGAGAUGAAGCUAAUGCAUCUGAAACAUUCAGAGAGUAAUACAAGAGCCAUCAUUACAAAACUUUCAAUUUGGUAAGAAUCCCAGUGCUUCAAAGCAUUUUCAGUUCAAACAGUUAAUGCCAAUUGAAUGCUCGGGUAUGUCAGGCAUCAACAACCAUUCAAUGUUAUCUCAUUUAAUAUUUGCAACAACCCAGUGGAAUUGGUGCUGUUAUUACCAUUAUCCCGUUUCAUAUAUGAGUAAACUGAACAACAGCCAUUAAAUAUUUGUUUGGGAAUGGGCCUUUUGGCCAACCCCGUGGAUUUUCCCGAUGGUUUUGAUUAUAUGCAUAGUGCCAGGCUGUGCACUUCAAACUCGAUCAUGACUGCCCCAAGAAGUGGAGAAAGGGGUUAUGUUGUUAUUUCUAUCAAUAUCACAAAAUCUCUCUUCCAUAAAGGCAAGAAAACAGGCUUCAAGAAGGAGAGAGAGAUUAAGUGACUUGUCCAAAGUCACACGGCUCACAGGAUGUGGAACCAGGAUUAAGGCCUAGGCUUUCUAACAGGAUAAUAAAGUACAGUGUCAGGGGACGCACAGAACAAACACCAUGUCAGAGAAAGGUGGCACUACUGGAUGUCAAGUGGUCAGGGCAGCUUCCAGAAGACACUGGGCUUGAUUCGGAGCCUGGGGAGCUGGAGGUGCAUCUGGAUCCACAGAUGUCAUCCUCCUGUCCUCAAACAUGGACACACACACACACACACACACACAGCCCAGUGGCCCUGACCCCUGGUCUCUAAUGUGGAAAGCAAGGGGAUAGCGUUCAGACAAGCUCACCCCAUCUCAUGCAGACUCCACAGGAGAUGUGCCCAGCAGCAGCUGCUGUUUCUCCCAUGUGGAUGUUAGUUAUUUGUAUAAAGGAUCCACCAGCCCCUAGGUUGCUUAGAUGACAUCGACCUUUCUCGUGGCCUUCAUCUCUGACUCCAGGAGAGGCUGUCGUGCUUCCGAUCACUUAGAAAGUGCCUGUCUCCUACGCAUAACCUAGAGUCAGCCCCUCUGACUCUGAAGGCAGCGGUGCAACCACAGGGGCAGAGCCUGAAGCCAUGAAUUACCGCUCGAGGAGGCAGUGUGGACGCUAUCCUCCAGGCAGGCAGAGUGUGAAUUGCGCUCCACGCUUCUGGGCAGGAAGCCAGAUGAGGGAGGGAGAAAUGAGACAGUGAAGUUCACUGCUCCAUCCCCAGAUGCUGGAAUCCCUGUCAGUGCUUAAUUCGUGAGUCAUGCUGCUGCUGCUGCUGCUGCUAAGUUGCUUCAGUCGUGUCUGACUCUGUGCGACCCCAUAGAUGGCAGCCCACCAGGCUUCCCCGUCCCUGGGAUUCUCCAGGCAAGAACACUGGAGUGGGUUGCCAUUUCCUUCUCCAAUGCGUGAAAGUGAAAAGUGAAAAGUGAAAAGUGAAAGAGAAGUCGCUCUGUCGUGUCUGACUCUUAGCAACCCCAUGGACUGCAGCCCACCAGGCUCCUCCAUCCAUGGGAGUUUCCUGGCAAGAGUACUGGAGUGGGAUGCCAUUGCCUUCUCCGUUGUGAGUCAUGUGAACUGUUAAAUAAUUUUCGAAAGGUUCAAAACAUAUUAAUCAAACAAUUACAUGUCAACAAUUUAUUUACCUUAUUAAUGAAGCAACCAGUGAGAUGACACAGCUAGAUUCGAAAGAGGAUAAAGGAAGAAAAAAUCAGUGAAAGAAAGGAAGCAAGCUGGAAUAAGAUUGCUGAAUUUGAUAAAGAACAUUAAUGUCUUAUAGGGCAAUAAAAUCAUAGUAUUUGGGACUCUCUUCUCUACUGGAUGGAAGACAUUUGCAUAUUACCAGUUUCUCUCUGUUCAUAUCUAUCUUACAGGGUUGGGCCCCUAACGGAUAGUGAACAGCAAACAAACAAAGGACACUCCUCUCCAGUGGCCUUGUUGCCUGAUUUCCACGUUUUCUUAACAACUCAAAGGAACCCAGCUGGUCCUGUGCUGCUCGGGAUUCUGCCAGCUUAGUCUAGUUCAAAUAUGCAUUCCCAGACUGGGGACAGAACCACAGCACGGGUUCAGUGACCCACUGGACCUAUUGUGAGAAGCAUUGAGCUCAGAGACCCACUGAUCACCUGUCCUCCACAAGCCCCUGUGAGGACUGGUGGAUCGCAGUGAUGUUUGGGUUUCCUGGCAUUGGUGCCUGUUCACAGCCAGAGUGUAGUAUAUGCAGAACUCAGAGAGAGAGCGGCUUCCAUUCCAGAUCGCCCCAAUAAAGCAAAUAUCUCAAUAAAGUGAAUCGCAUGAAUUUUUUGGACUCCCAGUGUAUACAAAAGUUAUGUUUACACUCUACUGUAGUUUAUAUGUCCCCCAAAGUACAUACCUUAAUUAAAAAAUACACUAUUGCUCAAAAAUGCUAACCAUGGCCUGACAAUGCAGGGUUGCCACAAACCUUCAAAUCUAUAAAAAUGUAACAUCUUUGAAGUACAAUAAAACAGAGUAGGCUGCAGUCCCAGAAAAGUCAGACGAUUUCCUUUUCUCCAGUGCACGGUCACCCUGGUAACAGACUAAAGAUCCCGUUGGGGAAGGCUGGGAGAAAGAUUAACUAUUAAUUUUUCACCAUGUAGUAAGGAUCUUCCUCCAGGGGCCCUGACCUCCCCUUCAUUCAGGGGAUUCUGGGUAAAUGAAUUGGGUCUGGGAAUUGACUGAGGGGUGAUGACUCCCUUUUUUGGUUAUUCAAGUUAGACUUCUGUUCACUUGAUCUAGAACCCUUCCACUUAAACACAUCAGGUAAGCAUUUAGAAGAUGAAGCAUUUAGAAGAUGACCAUUCACGUCUCUUCUGGGAACACCACGGUCAACCAGCUGGUUCAACAGGUCCCUGUGAGUCAGACUUUUCUGACAGCUUCUUUGAUUCUGCUGUCCAUUAGGGCCUGGAGACAACGUGGGCUCUGCAGAAAGAGUCCAUGAGAAAGAAUAAGAUGUGAAUUCUGGUUCUGUCUUUGCUAUUAACUAGCUGCGUGACCUUGGGCAAAUUAAUAACCCUCUCUGAGUCAUCUUCCUUAACCUUUAAAAAGGGAGUACUAACCCUGCCCUGCUGGGAAAGAAGGCUGCCGUGAAAGCUUUGAAAAAUAUAACCAUGUUUUUAUUAUCAUUUUUUAGUUGGAGUAAGGUUGGCUUACAAUGUUGUGUUAGUUUCAAGUGUACAACAAAGUGAUCCAGUUAAACACAGCGUCUUUAGACUGUGGCUAUUUGUGUUGUUUCGGUGUUUUAGACGGUGUGAGUGGAGGAUGCAAGCUGCAUCUGAUCUAUCAAAGUGCUUUGGCUCAGAUGAUGUGAUGAAUGUGUUGCCAGCAUUUUAAAAUAAGGGGAUUUCAAAUAAACGUCUCAAUUCUGGUUGUUUUUGAAGCACUGGAAGUUCUGGCAUAUUCUUGUACGAGGGUGAUAGGCUGUAAGAUAUCCACUUUACCUGCUCUGCCCACUACUUCACUCCCGAGGACUGAGUUUGUGGAGGCAGCCCGCAGGUGCCUGGUAUGAUGCUGGGAAGAGAUGCUUACCAAAUGCAAACGCUGAGCUAACAGUUCAGUGUGACAAGUGCCGCACAGGGGUCGGUGCCAGUCUGAGUGGGAGCUAAGAAAGCCAUCAGUUCUUCAGCAUCAGGAUGGACCGCUGCUCGCUAAACACCACCCCUAGACUCCUUCCUGGUUUUCAGCCAUCGUGCUCCGACUUUGGGGCUGAUUUUCACUUCUCUGCUUGUCUCUCUAGUUCCAGGUCUUAGAAGACCCAUCUGACUUGUCUGAGCUGAUUUGCUUGCCAGAUACUAAGGCUAGAUCUGUUCUCUUUCAACUAUGACCCCAGCUUGAAAUCUUGGCUUUGAACUCCCCAUUGCUAUCCCCCUGGCAAAUGCCAUCUUGUUGGGAACAGCUCCAGGUCACCCUGCUACUCUGCCAGCGGAGCACUUACUAAUUCAGCACAUUUUCCUGGGCAUCUGUGAUGGGGGUGUGCCCCGUGGGAGAUGCCCUGCACUCUUCCUCCUGCCCUUGGCUGCAGUGACCUGUACUGGCGGGGGCAACAGCCGCCUCUCAUAGCUCAGGGCAUGGCACACACUUGCCUCGCCUGAGCCUUGUGACUUCCGAGUUCAUGCCAUCUGGCCUGCCCACCUUCCCACCUGCCCAGGGCAUCUUGGGCACCCCCUCCCCAGGGAUCUAGGCUGCUUCUCAGCUUUAUAAUGGUAGCUAGUUAAGAAUGUGGCCUUGUCUGAGCGUCAUGUCGCUGCUCUGAGGGAGUCAGGGUGCCGAUCCAGUGAUCAGGGAAGGGCUCCUUUAGGAGGUGGGCUUUACCCUUGAAGGGUCCGUGGGAUGAGGAGGGUGGGGCGGCAGGUGGAUAAAUGGCAGCUUUCAGAGUUGAGGGAACCGGGAGGGUGAGGCGAGAGGAGGACGGAAAAGCACAGAUCAGCUCCAACUCGAGUCUCCUUCCCGCAGCAGAGCAGCAGGUUUCAUUUGGGGAGGUCAAAAAUAGAAGGAUCUAGACUGUCUCCUUUGGGGGAAGUGGUUGGUUGAAGGUAUUUUGAGCGAGAUGGUGGCGGCAGCCAAAAGCCGUGGCUUGAAGAGGUGAUCUCAGGAGAACUUGCAGGUAGUCUGGAGGUGAGGCUGGAGAUGGGGUUCGGGGGAGAGACUCUGGGUUCCGGCUCCCUCAUCACGUCGCCUCCAUCCGCUUGUGGCCUCUGGGCCUGCUGUCACCCCACAGAUCACACUUGGCUCGGCUCCUUGAGGGUGGCUGAGGAGUGCUCCCUGCUCCUUGUGGCCCCGUCCCACCUCAGGAGGCCCCGAGUGAAGUCCGAUCUGUCAUUCACCAGCCUCUCCGGGAAGUGGGAUGGGGCUGAGGGAGGCACCAGGCAGAUUGCAUUGCCCUUGCCCUUGGGUGGGGCAGUCAGCGGCCCCAGGCCCCUCUGCUUCGGCCCUUCCCAGGUUCCUUCUUUCUUGGCUGGACUGGGCCUGGGAGAGGUGAUUAAUGCUGCUGCCAGGAAGCACCACAUGGCAAUUACUGGGACACCGUCUCCUUCCAAGGGGAAAAUAUUGUGGCAGGAACUCCUGGGCUUAUUAGAGUGGGGAGCCUCUGGGAGGGUGCCAGGAGUCCCUGUGUUUCCAGGAAUAAGCAGAACAGGGAGUGAGGUCUCCAGCCAGAGCUCCUCUGGGCGAUGGUGGCCAGCCAGUUGCCUCCAUGGCUGGUUUGCCCCACUGCCCUGGGUCCCUCUCUGGGCAUGAGUGCUCUGCUGGUUUGUGGACCCGAGAUCUCAUUAGGACUUUCAGAAGGGUGUCAGAAGAGGGCUGAGCCUUGCUGUCUCAGAGCUCAUUAUCCCUGUGACUCACCCAGCUCUGUUUCCAGGCCCCAUUUCACUGAGUGAUGGUGACUUCUUGCCUGAAGUUCUUCUGAGCAUGUUCUAUUGCUGGCCCCCUCUUAGAGACCUCUUGGGGUCCUUUAUGGGGUCUUGCCCUCAUCACGACCACAGACAUCUGCUUUAGUGGGCAGUAACUGUAGCAGACAGCGGUCCCCAGACUGAUGAGGUGAACGGGGAACUGCCUAGGCCCUCUGAUUACCCUCCUUCCACCCCGAGCCCUCAGCCCUGGCUGGGCUGGAGCUCGCAUGGUGGCAGGUGGGAGGACACUGAGGGGAAAGAGCCUUGGAGCUUCUCUAGGGUGGCCACAUGUCCCUAUUAGAAGUGGAAACUGAGGCUCGGAGGUCACACGGCUGGAGAUGCAGGGCACAGCCGGCCUCCUGUAUCCGUUCAUCCGUCUUGCCCCAGAUGUUUACCCGGCUCCGGAGCUCUGCCUGGGUGCCGAGGUGAUGAUAGCAGCAUGGCUGGCUGACCUGUGUGUUCUCGGAAUGCUGAGAAAGCGGCAUCUUUUCUAUCUUUUCUUUCCCCCCAGAGUGUGAUAGGGGAGCCUUGAAAAGUGGUAAAGUUUUCUUUGUCUUGUUCUCACAGCCACUUCCAUCAGCCAGGCCAGGCCUCCUGUGCAACAGGGAUGCAAAUUCACCAGGAAACCCGAGAGAGUGGGCCAGGAUUGGUGCGGGAGUGGAAGACAAUUUUACAAUCUUUAAAAACAGCCUCUCGAAGCCAUGCACUUGCCACCGCAGAGCAGUGGGUACAAACACAGGGACAGAGGAACGGAACUUCCUGAGCGGGGAGUGGGUCUCUGGCCCUCAGCCCCCGCCGCUCCCGGUCCAGGCCCUGGGUGUGGGGGAAAGGCUGCUAUCUUUGGAGGCCGGAGCCGAGUUUGGACUUCCAAGGGCUGUGACACGCUACCAGGUCUGUCCCGGCGGGCUCUGAGGGCUUCUGCACAGAUCUGUGUCAGCUCAGUGUUCUCGGGUGAGUUCUAGCCCUGCUGCGGUCCAGGCUGCCAUGAGAUCACAGGAGGCCAGUCGGGGUUCGGUGAGCCCAGCCUGUCAGCACGGGCGGCAGGCGGGCAGGCAGAGGGGACCUUAUGGAUGGUCCCGUGAAGCUUCUCCCACUUCAGAAGAUGGAGAGCAUGGCUCACUGUAUUGACAGCAUCACCUUCAUCUGCUGCAGACACCCACUUCCGAAAUGGUGCCCCAUGACGACACAGCUCCCUGGGCGUCCUUCGGUUUGGUUGUGCUUCUCCAACCAGUGGCCUGAGGCCUGGCUUUGGUGAUGGCAGAAGAAGUGUGGGGUUUGGGGGAGACCAAGGGGCCUGGCGGAGAACCCCAGAUCUGUCAUUUAGCAGCUGUGUGGUGCUCGGGAAGUUUCUUGGGGGAAUGACAGGCAAGAACUAUGCAUGUGUGUGUGCUCAGCCACUUUAGUCGUGUCUGACUCUAUGACCCCAUGCCCUGCAGCCCGCCAGGCCCCUCCGUCCAUGGGAUUCUCCAGGCAAGAAUACUGGAGUGGGUUGCCAUGCCCUCCUCCAGGGGACCUCUCUGACCCGGGGAUCGAACCCGCAUCUCUUAGUCUCCUGCAUUGGCAGCUGUGUUUUUUUACCUCUAGCAGCACCUUAUUUCGGGAGAGAGAGCAUUCUGCUUUCUGUCUUCACACAUCGGCCUGAUAAAUGCUACCUGAUUUUUCUUACUUUCACGAUGACUUGCCUGAACCUAUGUUGUGAAAGGGGGUUGUUGGACUGACUCUGGAGGACUGUUGUGAGGCUGAGUGGUGAGACUGGUAAAAUCUCUGAGGGUCUUGCUUUCCAACCACUUGGUAGGGGCUUCACAGCCCGGUGGACAAGAGGGGCUCUGCUACUAGACACACCCAGGCUUCAAUUUCCCACCGUGUUAAGUUGUGAUUCCCUUAGACUCUCCUGCUUCGUCUGUAAUGAAAGGAUUAAUAGGAUUUACUUCUUAAGGUGAUUUUAAGAAUUAGGAAAAAGGAGUGUAAAGUGUGCAACACAGUACUGAGUACACAGUCGACGGUCAAGAAACCGUAGCUGCUAUUACUAUGACUGUUGUUGUUGUAGUAAAUGAGAACCCAUUUUCUCUAGCACUUUCAGCAGUCCCAUUUCUGACCCUCAAUGACACAGGGGUAGACAAUGGUUUUCUCAGCAGAAAUGAUUAUAAGAAACACUUGGACAGCUAGGGUGCCUGGGUAAUUAAGGGUGGGAUCCGCAGACCUCAGGCUCAGAGAGUAGUUCCAGGGGGAACUGGAGCUAAGAUUGUCCAUUUGCUUCCCGUGCAAGCAGAGUCCACGUGUCCCAGCACUAGCAAUCCAGGAAGCCCCCGGAGGAGGAACGGAGGACAGGCAGAGAGAAAAAGUUCCUGGAUCAGGACAGUGGGCAACUCACUGGAACUCACAGACUCAGGCCCCUGGAAAGGCACCAGAGCCUUGGCUGGGAAGUGCCUCCAAGCCAGGCGACGCUCAGCAUCUCCGUAUCCAGCACGGGCUCUGGGGACAGGCUGGCCUUGGGUAGAGACCUGCUUCCACCGCCUUCCAGCUGGGACUGUGCGUACAUUGUUGCUCCUCUCUGGGCCUCCAUCUCCUGAAAAAUGGGGGCAUUAUGAGAAUUAAAGGAGCGCAAAUAAGGAAUAUUGCUAUGUCCAGAACACAUUAGGGGAUCGAAAUGACUGGUAUUGAUCAAUUGGCAGAUAGUAAUAUUAAUCUGCCUCUUUCUCCUUUACCUCCUGCCCUUGUACUGGAAGCUUGAUGCCUGCCUGACUCUCUGUCUGUGCUCCAUCUGAAGAGGAAUGGAUGGGGGACCUCCUCUUUGCUUAGGAGGAGUUCUGGCCUCCUGUCUGCUGGUGGGAGCUGUGGCUGUGCCCCUUCAGCCAGACACCUGGGUACUGGAGAUGCCACCCACCUGACCAUGCAACACUCCACACCUGGAGCCUGUUUUCGUUUGAGAUAAUUUUAGACUGUCCGAAGAGAUGCAGAAGUAGUACAGAGAGUUCUCGUCUACCUUCCACCCAGCUUCCCCUAAUGUUAGCAUCCUAGCUAGCCCCAGCACAAUGAUCAAAACUGAGAAAGUAAGGUUUGUUCAAUGCUAUGAUUACAUGGCAGGCUCCACGUGGCACAGCAGUAAAGAGUCCACCUGCCAGAGCAGGAGACGCGUGAGAUGUGAGUUUGUUCCUGGCUUGGGAAGAUUCCCCUGGAAGAAAGAAAGGGUAACCCACUCCAGCCUUCUGCCUGGAGAAUCCCAUGGACAGAGGAGCCUGGUGGGCUACAGUCCACAGGGUCGCAAGAGUCAGACACGACUGAGCGACUAACCCUACUACUAGCACCCGUUUAUGAUUUUAAAAAACUGCAGAAAACGGGCAUAGCGGGAAUCUACCUCAACAUUAUGAAGGCCACAGACAACACACCUACAGCUCGCAUCAUACUCCAUGGUGAAAAGCUGAAGGCAUUUCCUCUAAGAUUAGGAGCAAGACAAGGAUGUCCGUUCUCACCACUUUACACAGUAGAAGCCCUCUUGCCCAGCAUGGUUGAUCGACCAAUUGAAAAAUUUAAUUAAAGAGAAGAUGCAUUAAAAAUGAUACGUCAAAAAUUUCAUUGUACCUUAGAAUAUUAUGUCCAUUACUUUACCAGACUUUUGGUAUAUAUUUUCAGUUUUUUCUUUGAGUUAUGACUCCACCUACUAGAGUUUUUGCCUCAUCUUAUUUGCAUUAGAAUCCCCAUAAUGCUUUAGCUACAACUUCCAAUAUUUUUACUUUUAUUUUUAAAAGCAGAGCAAAGACUUAAACUUACAAAGGAAUAUAAAUGUAGACUCCUGGAUUUCAGAAUUUUUUGCGUUAUCUUAUUCACACAUAGCUAGUCAGUAUUUUUUUAAAAGCAAUUUUUCUUUAUCAAAAAAUGUCCCCAGGCCAUUCAAAUUAGUUUGAAUGGAAUCAGUAUUUUAAGUUGGUAUUCAUGCUUUAUUGUUUAUUAAACAGUGAACUAGAUUAAUGGCAAUUAGAAGGAAAACUAGCAUAGGUGGAUUUGGGAACAGAUGUGACGGGAAAGCAGACAGCUCCCCAGGUGUGCAUGGAGAGUAGCAGAGCGUGGGUUCCUACAGGGGAUGCAUGGGUACCAGUCAGCAUCUUUUCCUGAGUGAGAACAAAUUCAAUGGACCAGCAGUGUGGAGGUCUUGGAGAGCUUUCACAGUACAUGAUCUUUCUGGCCCUCCUCCCAUCAGGAGGCGGACUCCACGCCCUUCCUCUUGGAGCUUGGGGGGCCUCUCUGACUGCCCUGAUGAGUAGAAAGCAGUGGAGCUGGUGCUGCGUGAGGUCCAAGGCAGCAUUUGGAAAGUCCCUCAGUGUCUGCAGGUUUCUCUUAGGACAGUCCCUCGAGGAGGGAGAGAAGCCCCAGCUGCUCGACUCUUCCCAGCUCCAGCACCAGACCCGUAAGUGAAGAAAACUUUGAGACGACCCGCAUCCAGCCACUUUCUGACAGUAACUGCAUGCGAGACCCUGAAGGAGAGCUGACCCAUGGACUCACCAGCUUCGUUAGUGACUAAUGACAUCAUUACUGUUUUUCUUAAAUGAGUCUGUUUGUUUCUCUGUUUCGGGCGGUGCUGAGUCUUGCUUGCUGUGCAUGCUUUUCUCUAGCUGCCACGAGGCUUUUCUCUAGCUGCCACGAGCGGGAGCUGCUCUAGAGAGGUGGUGCUCGGGCUUCUCAUUACGGUGGCUUCUCUUGUUGCAGAGCACAGGCUCUGGGCUCCCAGGCUUCUGGAAUUCAGCAGUUGUGGCCCCUGGACUCUAGAGCUCAGGCUCAGUCGUUGUGGUGCAUGUACUUGGUUGUUCCUCGGCAUGUGGGAUCAUCCCCAACUAGGGAUUGAACCCGUGGCUCCCGCACUGGCAGGUGGAUUCUUUACCACAGAGCCAUCAGGGAAGCUCUGUCAUUACUGUUUUAAGCCACUAUUUUGGGGUGGUUUGUUAGGCAGUGAGGAUCAGAGGCCUUUGACUGUGAAUCCUGUAUACAUUUUGAACUUUGAAUCACAUCAAUGUAUUUCUUAUUUAAAAAGUAAAUAAACUAAAAUUGUCCACCCCCCCCUCAGAUGAAGCACACAAUCUUUCACCUUAAUUUCAUUGUUAUUUGUGGGGCUCACACUUCAUGGCUAGCAUGUCCCAGAUGCUGGAAGUACAAAAGAGGAAUAAGAUAUAGACCUUGCCUUGAAAGAGCACAGGAGAUGAGAAGACAUAGACUUGCAGGUUUUGAUACCACAGAUGCCCAAAAGAGGAAGAAUCCUAUUUAUGAAAUGGAAGAGGAAUAAACAAGUGACCCUCCCUUGAAGCAGAUCAUGGAAGUCUUCUUGGAGGAGGUGGCAUCAGAGACCACAGGUGAGAACAGAGUUUGAAGAAGCAGGGGUCACUGAACAUCAUCCUCUCAAGGAACUCAAGAUGGUAGUGUUCUCUGAAAAGGAUGCAGAAGGUCCCAGCUGUUCAUUGUUGUUAGCGUCCUCCCUGGAGGGGACAGGACCCUUGGGCCUCCCCUCCAACAAGUAAACCCUGGUGUAUUUGUUAGAAUUAACAGAUAAGGGAGGAGGGUGGAGCGAUAGAACCAGUCUUCCCUUGGGGAAGCCCAGCACUUCACAGAGUGAAGAAGGCAGCGGAAAUACCUUACGGGCACCUCUCCUAGCUCAGUAGCGGCUUGCCUAUCAUGCUGGUACAUGAGGCAAACUACAGACCUUGGUUUGCCACAUGCCAGGAAGAUGGAAUGUUUUGUCUCAGCCUGUGAUGUGCACCCCAUUUGCUGUACAAAUUACCGCUUCCUGGGCCACAACUGUAAUUAGAUGAUCAGUCAUAGAAAGUCUAAAGCCAAGAGAGGCUGUGUUUCAGACACAAAGGCCUCCAGUAAGAGCGCUGAAGCCUUCAGGCAGAGCGAGGAGUGGUAGGAGAAUCUCGGCUUUGUCCAAAUGGCACUGGUGUUUCCUAAAGCCUCCCCAGCCCUGAGGGUUCCCAUCUUCCUGCGGCCACCAGGCGUAAGGGUGAGGAUCAGGUGGGGAGAUCCUAGAGUACUGUUCAGACCAGUCUUCAUAGUUCAGCAAUGUCUCUGCAACUCGGUUACCCUUGAUACUGUUAUAAAACAGGGGCUGCAAACGUAAAUGUAUGCGGGGCCUGGAAAGAAACAUAACCUGAGUGACACCAGCUGGGCGCAGGGUUGUAAGGAUUGGUGAGGGGAUUUCCCUGAUGGUCCAGUGGCUAAGACUCCAUGCUCCCAAUGCAGGAGGCCUGGAUUCAAUCCCUGUUGAGGGAACUAGAUCCCGCAUGCCAAAACUAAAGAGUCUGUGUGCUGCAACAAAGGCCGGGCAUAGCCAAAUAAAUAAAUGAGAUUGGUGGGCACUGUGGGGGCACUGUGGCCACAAACCUGAGGGCACUGUGCCCCACCUUGUUGGAAGGCAGAAGGAAGGGGAGGAGGGGAGCUCUGCCAAAGCCUUGGGGCCUGGCCCCUUGCAAACUGGGAUGAGUGGGGAGAACGCAGGGGGUGAGGAGCAGACAGUAGGGAUGUAGCUCCCACCAUCCCCUCCAUCCUUGGAGUGCAGAGACAGUCUCUUCCCCGAAGCUGACCCCUCCUCUGGCUGUGCAGGGCCACUGCCUUCUUUAGUUACUGUGUACUCUGUGUGAAGGGGGCCGCCUCUUUUGACCCCAGCUUGUUGUUCCCUUGUGAGAAUGCUGACCCAGUGUUUCCAAAAUCCUGUGAUUCUUUUGAUGGGAACCUGUAUUUUCACGUAACAUCUGCAAAGUGUAAAUAUUGGCAACAAGUUGCAGUCUUUCAACAAUGCAAUGUAAGCCCAACAAAACCUAUCUGCAAACCAAAUGUGGCCCAAGGCUGCCAGUUGGCAACUUCUGGUAUGAAAAAGUUAGCUAGCCAGUGCUGGGUCUCUGUUGCUGGGCUGGCAGAAAACAUAACCAAGGAGUCGGCAAACUUGUGACUAGAAAGGAUUUUACCAGCCUGCCAUCGCCAACCUUCACUUUUCCCAGAACAAAAUAGAUGGAUCCCGUGUUCUGGCAUGUUCUGGUGUGUUCUGGCAUGUUCUGGAGUGUUCUGGAGUGUUCUGGUGUGUUCUGGACUUUUUGUUGGGCUAAUGGGCUGUCUCCUUCCUUUCAGAGAGGACGAUGGCUCGGCUGGUAGGGACAGGAAGUGGGGGUGGACACCUACUUUAAUGACAGACAGAACCACUGCUGAACUCCUAUUCUAUGCCAGUCACCGUGUAAAGCGCCAACCACAUGCAUUCAUUUAAUCUGCACAGCAGCCCUGUGAGAUUAGAUACUAUUUCCAUGUUAAGAUGAAGAAACAGACACAGAGAGAGUAACUCACCCAACGUCACCCAACCACAGUGGCUUAUGCACACAGGUACAUCUGCCUACAAGACCCAGGCUCCUCCGCUUAUACCAGGGGGUGAGUCUGGGUCUAGAGCGAGGAGUGAGGUCUGUGGGAACAAGCCCUAGAGGCACCCAGGACACAGGUGCCUUUAUUUCCCUGCAGACAGGCUUCCUUCAUGAGUGUGUCCAGAGUCUUACUUCCCCAGGCUCUUAGGGCUCAGGCUGAAGCCCACAGGAGGCCCUUGGACCCUUCACAGCCUUCUAAAGAGGGAAGAUGCAGUCCAGGCCAUACCUGUGUUUCUUCAGAGUCCUGGGUGCCCUUAGGCAACCGGACGUUCUGGCAUGUUCUGGCCUGCCCAGAGUUGUUCCUGCCUUGGGGCUUAUGGCAUGUGGCUUAUUUGGAGGAAGACCGCCGACUCUGUUCCUCAGACACCCAGCAGGUUAGACUUCUUGGACAGCGACUUUGUGUGUGACAGCACGUGGCUUGUGGGGAGAAGUCGAGGUGCCUUGACAUCAGUGGGUUAUUUUCACGAACUUGGCAGCUCCAACUAAUCCCUCAGGAGAACUUCCCCUCCCUCCUGCCACAGCCAUCAGAGCUCUCCAUCAGCCUGUGCCUCGGGGAGCUGUCACAGCCUCAUUACUGCUAAUUCAUCUUCACUUAGUGCAUCAAAAGGCUGGCAGAUUUAUCAAAUAGGGUGGGUGCACGGGAAGUUCGAUCAGUGACGUUGUGUUGUUUGCCCUGUCGAGCUGAGAAAACUUAGCUGCUCUGUGUCCCAGGAGUCCCAAGACAAGAUGGAAAGUAUUUGUGUUCUGCCUCAGAUACUCUCAGGAUCAGAAGCUAGAGUGAGAACUCCAGCCAGAGGUGUUUCCUUAGUGACUUGCCCGAGGGGCACCUUCUCUGUGUGUCUCUCCUUCCCUCCCUUUCUCUGUCUCCUGAUUCCAUAGGUGGGUUCCCGGCUGAGCAGGGUUUCUGGUCACAUCCCUCAUCCUUCAUGGCUGAGCAGCUCUGCCCCCUGGGAAUCCUCUAUCUCACGCAUCCCUCCUGGACCUGGGUUAUUAGCUUCUGCUGUUUGUCUCCAGCCUUGGCCUUGUCAGGCUGCUGAGCAGGAAAGCCAGAGAUUCAGCCCUUUCCUUGGACUCCUGGGGAAGAAUGUGUGUGUGUGUGUGCGUGUGUGUUAUGUGUGUGCGUGCUCAGUUGUGGCCCACUCUUUGAUACCCCAUGGACUGUAGCCCGCCAGGCUCCUCUGUCCACCAAUUUAGAACAGAAAAGCCUCACCCAAAAGUUGUCUCAAGGAGCAGCCUCACACAAAGAAACCUAGCACACCCUAUGGCCCCAGGCUGCUCCCUGAACAGAUGUUCAGGACACAGUCCAUGAGCACGUAACAUGCGAUGUACAAGCCUUCAUCAAUAUCCAGGGGAAAGCGAGAGCAGAAUGUCAGGCUUAGAGAGCAACGCUUGUAAAGAAAGAAUUAUUUCCAGGGUGAACGGGCUGAGUGGGGACUGGAUGUAUAGAUGUAUAGACUGGAUGUAUAGACGCCUGAGCAGGCACGCACACACGUCAUCUAUACAUCCAGGAUCUAUACUCCUGGAUGCCUGCUGUUGCUCAUCUCUGCUGACAUAUCUGUAGGGGAGAUGAGCACACACAAGAAACUGGAUGAAUUCAGGUUAGACUGAGGAGAGAUACAGAGCCUCCAGAGUCACCCUGUCUUUAGCUGACUUAAUAGCUUUGAAGAUGCAGCUGAUGAUGACGAUCACAGAGGCCGUGAUGGCAGCUAAUACCUGCUAUUUACUGAGCCCUUUGUAGGAGCCACAGAGGCCAUGUAAGGUCAAGCUGGGGGCCUAUCUAGAAACCUCAGCGGCAAUCCUGGUAAUGAAAACCACCAGGUCCGUGAACUUGAGUUUUUUCACUUUUCUCGGUCUUAGUUUUUUGAUCUGUAAAAUAAACGGACUAUAUUAGAUCAGAUUUCUUUGACAAACAAAAUUCAAUAUUCUACACUUUUUUCCCUGUCAAGAGAAUAGGGACAACUGAAUGUCUCCUCUGGGCCAGAGACUGUGCUAAGGGCUUGAUGUAUCUCAUUUAACCUUCAAAAUAACCCCACAGGGAAGGUGGUCUCACCGUUUUAGAGCUGCACUAUUGCUGUCAACAGCAACCAGCACUACGGAUGCACGUUAACUCUUAGCAAGCUGGUAUUCUUCUCAAUAGGGGCUUCCCAGGUGGUGCAGUGGUGCAGAACCCGCCUGCCGAGGCAGGAGACUCAGGAGACCUGGCUUCGAUCCUUGGGUCAGGAAGACCACUAGGAGAGGGAAAUGGCAGCCCACUCCAGUUUUCUUGCCUGGGAAAGCCUAUGGACAGAGGACCCUGGUGGGCCAGUGACCAUGAAGUUGCAGAGAGUCGGAUACGACUGAACGACUGAGCAGGCACGCAUGCGUGUCCUUCUCAGUAAAUGCUAAGGAUAUACAUGGGUUUAAGACAACCUCUGCCCUGCAGGCUUCACAGACCCAUCACAGAGACUGAACAGGAAAAGAGACCAAAGCCAGGAAGUAGCAAAGAACAUGUACAACAGCGAGUGAAUGGUAUCAGCCCCCAACUCUCCAGUGGGGAUGUCUGUGGGAUCAACUUACAGAUGACAAAUGCAGGUCUAGGUUGAAGUGCUAACAGUACACUAACAUUCUAUAGAACUUUAGACUUUGUAGGACACUUUGAAAUAUAUCAGUUUACAUGAUUAUUUCAGGUAUGACUGCUCUCAUUAAAUUAUUAUCGAUUAUUAAAUUGAGCAGUAGGGAAGUAGCUCAUCUAAGGGAACUGGAUUAUUCUCCUGCCUGUCAGACUCCAGCAGGUGGAUGAAAUAAUCCAGUGCUGAUGGUGGACUCUCAAGAGUCCCUAAGGUCUCACUGGAUGCCUGGCCCACCUCUGCCUUAGAGAGUCGAGACAUCCCAUAGCUGUUUUAUCCAUAGUAUUUAUCAGGAAGGUUCCUGGCCAACUAGAGUUUUUCCUUGAAGUCAAGGUGGCUGCAGAUCCAUGUGGGACACCCUGAGAAGAUCGUCACCAAGGUCACCUGCCAGGUGUCCCCAGCACCUCAUGGCUUUUAGCUCAGGGCUGGUUGCUGCUGCAGCUGCUGCUAAGUCGCUUCAGUAGUGUCUGACUCUUAGCGACCCCAUGGACUGCAGCCCACCAGGCUCCUCCAUCCAUGGGACUUUCCAGGCAAGAACACUGGAGUGGAGUGCCAUUGCCUUCUCAGACAGGGCUGGUUGGUAGGAGCCAAAUGUUGGCUCUGACUGGAGUCCCUCCAGAGUGCUCAGAGGACUGGGGGCCAUGGAGAAGUAGGAGGUCUCUCUCUCUCAAGGGCACUCAUCACAGUGUGGGUCUUUUGCCAGUGGUACCGGUGGGCACUGACAGCAACAGUGCUGCCCCAUGUGGCUCUAAAACAGGGUGAGACCACCUUCCUCAUGGAUUAUUUUGAAGCUUAAAGACGACACACUGAGCCUUUAACAUAGCCUUUGGCCCAGAGGAGACCCUUUUGCUGGGACCUGGCAGAGUUCCACACCAGCCCCCAACAGUGAUACUAGCUUCUGAUUAUUGAGCUGCUUGUUGACCCCUCAUUUUGCAUUUUCUACAUUAAUUUCACAACCACUCCAAUGAGGAGGGAUUUAUUGUCCCCAUUUUACAGAUGAGAAAACUGAGGCCCAGAGCUAUGACAUUGUCAAGGCCACAGUGCUUGCAAAUGUUGGAAAUGAAACUGAAACCCAGGUCUAUCUGAUUAAAAACAACCAGGCCAACCCAGCUGCUGUCCUUCAAUCCUCAGGACAAAGGAAGCCCCUCCUCUUUUUUCUCUAGUCAUCACUGCUUAAAAAAACCUUAAUGUUGAGGACAGGGAUGGGGGAGGGUAACGCAGUGCCAGUGGGCACACAGCUCACCCCCAAGGCUCUGUGCCCGUCACCGACACUGCCCUUCUGAUCUACUGCUGUCCUGUGGGAGAGGAAGGUGAGGCUCUAUUUGAGACACCCAGCCUUUUACUGCGGCAGGGAAACUGCCCCCCACUGCCUUCUGUGACUGUGUGGUGCACCUCUCCCCUGAGUGAGGUGCCAGCAGCCCAGGGCCUUUAUUAUAAAUGCUUGGGGAGUGGAAGGAUGCCUGGACCUGCAGCGCCCCCACCCCACGGAAGGAAAGGAAACACAGGAAGGACAGGAGGAAGGCGGGCUGACCUGGCCCAGGGGGAUGAGCCUGGAGGCUGUCUACACUCUUCCUUGCCAUGCAGAAUCCAGCAUGUCUGUCCUCCUCUGCCUCACUUGGUCCAGGCAGUCUAAUGCUCUGGAGACCUCUAAAGUGUUGUUUUCUGGAAAGCAUCCGGGUGCCUAAGGGCAGUCAGGACUCUGAGGAAACAUGGGUGAGGCUGGGACUGCAUCUUCC